rnacentral:rRNA from 1 species
GAUGAACGCUAGCGGCAGGCUUAACACAUGCAAGUCGAGGGGUAUAGUUCUUCGGAACUAGAGACCGGCGCACGGGUGCGUAACGCGUAUGCAAUCUACCUUUCACAAAGGGAUAGCCCAGAGAAAUUUGGAUUAAUACCUUAUAGUAAUACGACUUGGCAUCAAGAUGUAUUUAAAGAUUUAUCGGUGAAAGAUGAGCAUGCGUCCCAUUAGCUUGUUGGUAAGGUAACGGCUUACCAAGGCAACGAUGGGUAGGGGUCCUGAGAGGGAGAUCCCCCACACUGGUACUGAGACACGGACCAGACUCCUACGGGAGGCAGCAGUGAGGAAUAUUGGACAAUGGGCGCAAGCCUGAUCCAGCCAUGCCGCGUGCAGGAUGACGGUCCUAUGGAUUGUAAACUGCUUUUAUACAGGAAGAAACACUCCGACGUGUCGGAGCUUGACGGUACUGUAAGAAUAAGGAUCGGCUAACUCCGUGCCAGCAGCCGCGGUAAAG